CGAAAGGAGCGAAGGGGACUCGGCCGCCAUGUUAGGAGUGCUGGGACGAUUCUGCGGAUCCCGGCUGAGGUUUUAGGGAGCUUGCGAGCCGAGUGGUGGUGCAGUGGGGACGGUGAGGUGGAGGAUAAGCCGGUUGGAGAGCCUAAGGCCCGAACCUGGGGACCUGGGGUGGAGGCGGCAUCUGGGGACAGAUUGUAGGGCGGGUCCGGCUGGAGGCAGAAUCAAGAGGCCGACUGGGCCUCGGCCUUACGGUCCAGCGGGUUCUAUAUAGGCCCCCUACACCUCUUGCUCCUUUUUCUUAUUAAGAGGUUGAGGGAGUGGGUUUACUUCUGAGCUCAGAGCAUCAUUUCGGCCCGCUAACAGGACACUCGGAGCGAUAAACUCUGCUCUUUCACCUUCCUGGGACCUGUUUGGCAUUUGUUGGAGUACUGGGUUGCUAAUAAUGGAAAAGCUGAAGAAUCGAGUACUGAGAAGAAGCCAGAAUUGAGGGGUUUGGGGAGUGAAUGAAUGGGAGUGAGGUAAGAAGUAGGUACUUAAUGUAGAUAAUUUGUUUUAUGAAGUUUGUCUCUCAAAGAGGCAAGAAAUAAUAGGAUAUAAAAAGAGGGCAUGUGGGAUUGAAAGAGGGUUUAUAUUUAAAUCUUCCUACUUAGAGGCCAAAAUCACACCACUUCAGGGCACUCUGAUCAUUUCUCAAAGCAAUCAGGAUUUAGGAUUCUACCCUGCUCUGAAUGGGGCCAGGAGAGGAGGGGAAGAGCUCUGAAGUACUUUUGUAAUUUUUUUCUACAUUAUACUCCGUACUUUCCAUUUGAUUUGAUUAUUUUUCCUUUCCAGUUCCUUCAAGGGUUUUCAUGGCUACCAUUUGACCAAACUUCUGCUUGAAGAAUAGUGCAUUUUUAUGACAAUUCCAAAAAAGAGUAGCAAUGACCAAGAGCCUAGGCUUCUUUCGAGAAUUUAUUGGUCCUAAAAAGGUGGUGUUUGCCCUUUAUACCUAUAUCAUUAAUACUUACCAAGCAAACUUGACUGAGAUCCUCACAAUCACUGUUAGAGAAAACAGUGCUCAUUUGAACCAGGAGAUUAAACUUGAACAAAAUUUGCCUUGUCUAGCUGUGGUUUUCAAGAUACAUUACCUAGAGGAGGAGAAAUCUGAAAUAGAUUCUUUAAGUUAUUUACAUAAGGAAGGUAGGAUUGUGGAAAUAGAGAAAAAUGCACGAGAGAAAAGCAUCCAACAUCUUAGGGCAACAAAGCCCUCAACAAAAAAUCUGUUUCUGACAGUUAUGAAGUAAAUUCUCCAUUGCUUGAACUCACUAUCAUUACCCAAUAAUUUAAGUGAGCUGCUGCUUCCCUUCAGAGGUUUAGCUAGCAGAAUAAAUAGGUGUCAGCAAGAGAACAGCUAAGACAGGUAAGGAUUCUGUAUAAUCAAAAAUCUCAAAAGAAGUUGGUUAUUACUAGAUCCUGACACUCUGUAUGUCCAAAUAUGUUUCAUUUCCUUUGAUGAAAUAGGUACCAGAAGAAAUAACUGGAAGUAUUUCUGAGAAAAGACUUGUGGCUACCAAUUGAAUUGCUGUUACCAAGUUACAUUUUGAACACCAAGGCAUUGUGCAAAGCCCCAUACAUCCAACAUGACUCCCAAGUUAGCUAACACUUGACUUUGUGUCCAGGCUAAUACCUGUUUCUGGCAAAUGUAAGGCUGUCCAGCGCUCUUACCACAUCAACUGUCUGGAAGGAGGAAAAAACAUGAAAAUAAAUGUUAACUAUGUAAUUGUUUAUUGUCAUGGGCCCAAAGUUAGACCCAGAUUUGGAAACCUAUCAAAUACUCCUGCUUACUACUGUUAAUGUGGGUAAUUAUCUUAAUUGUUAAUAUUAAGUAUUAAUACUUACCUGCUCAGUAGUCUAAGAUAAGAAAUAGACUUCAUACAGGUUCAUUUGUGUGCCUGAGCCCAUUCUGGUUUUCAGUAGAAACUGGAAAGUUAUUUAUGGCCCAUUGUAACUUAAGAUAACCCUAAAUUUCUGGAAUAUAUUUUGGUGUUGUAUAGAAUUCACUUCAAGUUCACUUAAUAGUUCACAGGAAACUGAAAAAUAAUUUUUCUUAUAGUGCUGGUGAGAACAUCCUGUUAAAAUACUUGUGAACUAGUUGAGGUCAAAAUAGAACUACAGCCUACUUAUCACGUAUUUGCCAAUAGUAUUUUAAAUUAUGAUGGAUAAAUCCUUUUAAGAUCACAACUUGAUUGUGGAAAUUUGCUUUAGUAAAAAGUAAGGACUUCAACAAA